UGGGGUCACCAAGGUGAUUUCACUGAGUGGGAAGAACCUACCUGUGCCACAGGCUGGCCAAGGUGAUUAUCAGUGUAAGAUAGGCACUAACACAGUCCCAGCUAUCAGACAGAAUGAUAGUGCCAUAGACUGCCAGAGCCACGCUUAUGUGUAUACAGCCAUCACAGGCCAGGAG